rnacentral:miRNA from 1 species
UUCUGUAGACUACGCAAUCAUCAGCAA